rnacentral:rRNA from 1 species
UACAGAGGGUGCGAGCGUUGUUCGGAAUUAUUGGGCGUAAAGGGCGCGUAGGCGGCGCCACAAGUCACUUGUGAAAACUCUGGGCUCAACUCAGAGCCUGCAAGCGAAACUGUGGUGCUGGAGUAUGGGAGAGGUGCGUGGAAUUCCCGGUGUAGCGGUGAAAUGCGUAGAUAUCGUAAGGAAGACCAGUGGCGAAGGCGGGUCUCUGGACAGUUCCUGACGCUGAGGCACGAAGGUCAGGGGAGCAAACGGG